CUCUGUCUUUAGCUUCCAGAAGUUUAACUAACAACUGUGUCUCUAACUAAGGGUCUCCUUGUAUUUAUAUUAAUUAAGCUUUGUCAAGCUUCUGGAAUCUGUACGUAAUUGUUUUUCAUCAUAUUUGGGAUCCACAGCUGUGACCUACACCACAGCUCAUAGCAACGCUGGAUCCUUAACCCACGGAGCGAAGCCGGGGAUCAAACCUGCAUCUUCAUGGAUCCUAGUCAGGUUUGUUACUGUUGAGCCACAAUGGGAACUCCUCAUUGACUUUUUUAAUUCCCAAGUAUGCUCCAUACUUCUCUGGUGUUUUAUGAGUAUUUCAAAUUUUUUAAUUUUUUUUCUGAGUCUUUUGUUGUUUUUUGUUUAGUGUGUGUGUGAAGUCACUUGCCUAGAUGGAAUCCGAGGAAUCUUGUGGCCCCUACAUUGUGUGACCAUGAUUUUCUCUGCUCAGCUCCCUUCAUCCUAGAUCUUAUCUUAAUUUUCGGCCUAACUGUCCAGUGUCUGCAUAGUUUGUGAGUCAGGUUUCAGUCAGACACUUUGGACCAUUAGACUUCCACCCCACUGCACUGGGUGUGUGUUUCAGUUGGGAGUGUGUUCGUAGUUGAGGUGGCUUUGAAGUGGCCCCAGUUUUACUCUGUGCUGGCGUCCUCUGUGUGGGGCAGGGGGUGCUCGUCCCACCCCUCAAGGUCUGUCUCAUUUUCGGGCUCUUCCUUUAAAUUUCUGCCUGUUCCUCCACGGUCAGCCACCCCUGCCGAGACCUCGACCUCUGAGGCUGGCCAGGUCCUCAGCCUCCUUUUUUUCUUUAUCUGCGCUUAACUCCCUUCAUGAUCUCAUGGGUUUAAUGACCUCUGAUGCCUGCAGAGCCCAGGUUUCUACCUUUAGCGCACGUUCCAGAUAUGCGGGUCGAACGUUCGCUUCCACGUCUCCUCUUACGGUGCUUUAGACUCAGCGCUCGUAUCUUCCACAUCCCGGUAGAUGUCAACUCCGUCGUUCCUGUUACUCGGGCCAAACAUUUGGUUCGCCUUCAUUCUUCAUUUUCACUCCUGUCUUGCAUCUAGUCCAUCAGGAAGCCACUCGCACUCCUUCGACCCAGACUCCAGCUCCAGCGACUGCUCACCCUCCGUUCCAUGUCACCACCUAGUCCAGGUCACACCUCUGUCCCCAGGGUUGUCAAGGUUGUCGCAGUUGCUACCAGUUCUUCGUGAUUCCGUGAGGAGCUGGGCAUGCAGUUCUGAAACGUAAAACACAUGCCAUUCUGCUACCCAGAACCCUUCCACGGCUUCCUCCUUCCUGAGAGCAACCCCCAAAUAAAGCUUGGCUGCAAGGCACCAAACGUAACUCCCCCCGACCUGGUCUUUUCCCUGCUGCCC
rnacentral:lncRNA from 1 species